rnacentral:rRNA from 1 species
UGGUGACUAUAGCAAGGAGGUCACACCUGUUCCCAUGCCGAACACAGAAGUUAAGCUCCUUAGCGUCGAUGGUAGUCGAACUUACGUCAAAAUAAAAAGUAAACACA